CCUACGGGGGGCAGCAGUGAGGAAUAUUGGUCAAUGGGCGUAAGCCUCAACCAGCCAAGUCGCGUGAGGGAUGAAGGUUCUAUGGAUCGUAAACCUCUUUUAUAAGGGAAUAAAGUGUGGGACGUGUCCUGUUUUGUAUGUACCUUAUGAAUAAGGAUCGGCUAACUCCGUGCCAGCAGCCGCGGUAAUACGGAGGAUCCGAGCGUUAUCCGGAUUUAUUGGGUUUAAAGGGUGCGUAGGCGGCCUUUUAAGUCAGCGGUGAAAGUCUGUGGCUCAACCAUAGAAUUGCCGUUGAAACUGGGAGGCUUGAGUAUGUUUGAGGCAGGCGGAAUGCGUGGUGUAGCGGUGAAAUGCUUAGAUAUCACGCAGAACCCCGAUUGCGAAGGCAGCCUGCCAAGCCAUGACUGACGCUGAUGCACGAAAGCGUGGGGAUCAAACAGGAUUAGAUACCCGGGUAAUC
rnacentral:rRNA from 1 species